rnacentral:rRNA from 1 species
AAAUUGAAGAGUUUGAUCAUGGCUCAGAUUGAACGCUGGCGGCAGGCCUAACACAUGCAAGUCGAGCGGCAGCGGAAAGUAGCUUGCUACUUUGCCGGCGAGCGGCGGACGGGUGAGUAAUGUCUGGGAAACUGCCUGAUGGAGGGGGAUAACUACUGGAAACGGUAGCUAAUACCGCAUAACGUCGCAAGACCAAAGAGGGGGACCUUCGGGCCUCUUGCCAUCAGAUGUGCCCAGAUGGGAUUAGCUAGUAGGUGGGGUAACGGCUCACCUAGGCGACGAUCCCUAGCUGGUCUGAGAGGAUGACCAGCCACACUGGAACUGAGACACGGUCCAGACUCCUACGGGAGGCAGCAGUGGGGAAUAUUGCACAAUGGGCGCAAGCCUGAUGCAGCCAUGCCGCGUGUAUGAAGAAGGCCUUCGGGUUGUAAAGUACUU